AGGCAUCACCAGGGAGAUGAUGAAGAAGGGCAGCCAACACACAAUAAAUGCUCCUAAAAUGAUCCCUAGGGUCUUGGUGGCUUUGCGCUCCCUAGCGGCCAUGAGUUUCUUCUUUUCCAGCAGGGCGUCUGAGACUCGCACUUUGACUUGGUUCACAUACACAGGAGACCCGGACUCACUGGGCACGUCCGGAGCCCGGGAGUUAAUGGAGGUGACCGAGGAUGUGGAUCCCGGGGAGUCUGUUAUCAACUGGGCUCGGGUCAAGCGCUUGCCGGUCUUGUUGGGUGUCUGUUUCAAAAUCCGAGAGCGGGCUUCCACAUAGAUGCGGCCAUAGAGGGCGAUGAGGAGCAGGGUGGGUAAAUAGAAAGCGCCCACCGUGGAGUAGACCGUGUAGAGGACGUGGUCGGUGUUCACAAAGCAGUCCAGCAUCUCCUCCUCUGCUUUGGCUUGACGCCAGAAGAAGGGUGGCAACGAAAUAGAGAUGGAGAAGACCCACACCAGCACGAUCAUGAUGGCCGCCCUUUUGGGAGUCCUUUUAGCAGAAUACUCCACCGCAUCGGUGAUGGCCCAGUAGCGGUCCAGGGCGAUGACACAGAGAUGCAUGAUGGAAGCAGUGCAACAGGUGAUAUCCGACGACAGCCAGAAGUCGCAGACCACCUGGCCUAGUGUCCAGCGUCCAGUGACCGUGUACAUGGUGCUGAUGGGCAUCACCAGGAUGGACACGAGCAGCAUUUCAAAGCAAAACUCCUGCAAGUACCAUUUACAAGAAGGAUCUAUGCGAGGCACAAAGCAAAUCUCAAGCAAACUGAAACUGACAGUUAAUCAAAAAAGAUGAUUAAGAAAAUAACCGUAAUCAAAGGAAAUAACUUCUCCAUCAACAAUCAGCAUAUGCCACGACUGCAAGCUCCUGCUGCCUGCACCUCCUUGCCAUGAUGGACUGUACCUUGAACCCUGUGCUAAAAGAAGCCUGUUCUUCCAUAAGUUGCUUUCAUCAGAGUAUUAUGUCACAGCAACAGAACAGAAACUAGGACAGCAUAAAUAAAGUUACAUUGCGUAAAUUUGCCAGCACCCAAAUCUAACUCAACCCUCCCAAGUAUACAGAGCCAUGUUCUAUCUUGUCCUUGUCAAAUACCCCCCAUCUUUCUCUCAGUUACUUCCAAAGGCUGAUGGCUGACACCUUGGCAACAAAAAUGCAUAACUACAUUGUCUUGGUUCAUUCUUCACUCAGUAGAUUAUUGCUUUGAAUCCUACGUGCCAAUAUUUUUUUUGUAUAUAUUAAAUGAAAAGGUCUAAGACAGUGAUGACUUCUCUUGUUAGAAAAGUUUACUUUUCUGCCAAAUGCAUACUCUAUUUUCAGUAUUAGAGUAUGCUUUUAUUAUGUCUAUUUUUUUCUCUACUAUCGCUUGACUAUAACAGACUAGUUAUGAGAAUUUGUCCUAAGGUAAAUUUUAAGGCU
ensembl:antisense D430036J16Rik RIKEN cDNA D430036J16 gene